rnacentral:rRNA from 1 species
UACGGAGGGUGCGAGCGUUGUCCGGAAUCACUGGGCGUAAAGGGCGCGUAGGCGGCUUGGGAAGUCCGUGGUGAAAGCCCGAGGCUCAACUUCGGGUCGGCCAUGGAUACUCCUAAGCUCGAGUCGACUAGAGGCUAAUGGAAUUCCGGGUGUAGCGGUGGAAUGCGUAGAGAUCCGGAAGAACACCGGUGGCGAAGGCGGCCAACUGGACCACAACUGACGCUGAGGCGCGAAAGCGUGGGGAGCAAACAGG